CCUACGGGGGGCAGCAGUGGGGAAUAUUGGACAAUGGGGGGAACCCUGAUCCAGCCAUGCCGCGUGUGUGAAGAAGGCCCUCGGGUUGUAAAGCACUUUCAGUGAGGAAGAACGCCUGGUGGUUAAUACCCAUCAGGAAAGACAUCACUCACAGAAGAAGCACCGGCUAACUCCGUGCCAGCAGCCGCGGUAAUACGGAGGGUGCGAGCGUUAAUCGGAAUUACUGGGCGUAAAGCGCGCGUAGGUGGCUUGAUAAGCCGGUUGUGAAAGCCCCGGGCUCAACCUGGGAACGGCAUCCGGAACUGUCAAGCUAGAGUGCAGGAGAGGAAGGUAGAAUUCCCGGUGGAGCGGUGAAAUGCGUAGAGAUCGGGAGGAAUACCAGUGGCGAAGGCGGCCUUCUGGACUGACACUGACACUGAGGUGCGAAAGCGUGGGUAGCAAACAGGAUUAGAUACCCCAGUAGUC
rnacentral:rRNA from 1 species